UUAAAGAUACUUCUCUACGGAGCUGGCGGGGAACCCGGCAGAGGUUAGAUUCCUAUGG
rnacentral:ncRNA from 1 species